rnacentral:rRNA from 1 species
GACGAACGCUGGCGGCGUGCCUAAUACAUGCAAGUCGAACGCUGAAGGAGGAGCUUGCUUCUCUGGAUGAGUUGCGCACGGGUGAGUAACGCGUAGGUAACCUGCCUGUUAGCGGGGGAUAACUCUUGGAAACGAUAGCUAAUACCGCAUAAUAGUAGACGUUGCAUGUCAUUUGCUUAAAAGGUGCAAUUGUAUCAUUACCAGUUGGUCCUGCGUUGUAAUAGCUAGUUGGUGGUGUAACGGCUCAUCAAAGCGACGAUACUUAGCCGACCUGCGAGGGUGAACAGCCACACUGGGAACGGAGCAAGGCCCAGGAUCCUUCGGGAAGCAGCCAGAAGGGAUCUUCGGCAAUGGACGGAAGUCUGGCCGAGCAACGCCGCGUGAGUGAAGAAGGUUGUCGGGUCGGAAAGCUCUGUUGUAAGAGGAGAAAGAGUGGGGGAGUGGAAAGUUCACACUGUGACGGUAUCUUACCAGAAAGCGACGGCUAACUACGUG